GCAACCCGCAAGGCCGACGGCACCCGCCGCCGCUGGCGCAAGCCCGGCGGUCUCAAACGGGGCGGGCGCUCAUGGUUACACA
rnacentral:ribozyme from 1 species